rnacentral:rRNA from 1 species
UACGUAGGGCGCGAGCGUUGUCCGGAUUUAUUGGGCGUAAAGAGCUCGUAGGCGGUUUGUCGCGUCUGCUGUGAAAACUCGGGGCUUAACCCCGGGCCUGCAGUGGGUACGGGCAGACUAGAGUGCGGUAGGGGUCACGGGAAUUCCCAGUGUAGCGGUGAAAUGCGUAGAGAUUGGGAAGAACACCAGCGGCGAAAGCGACGUGACUGGGCCUGAACUGACACUCAUGGACGAAAGCUAGGGGAGCGAAAGGG